GACGUAGGGUGCGAGCGUUGUCCGGAUUUAUUGGGCGUAAAGAGCUCGUAGGCGGCUCGUCGCGUCGACCGUGAAAACCCGCAGCUUAACUGCGGGCUUGCGGUUGAUACGGGCGGGCUAGAGUUCGGUAGGGGAGACUGGAAUUCCUGGUGUAGCGGUGAAAUGCGUAGAUAUCUGGAGGAAUACCGGUGGCGAAGGCGGCAUCCUGGACCGACAUUGACGCUGAGGAGCGAAAGCUAGGGGAGCAAACGGG
rnacentral:rRNA from 1 species